rnacentral:tRNA from 1 species
ACCCAGCUGGCUCAGUCAGUAGAGCAUAGGGCUCCUGAUCUUGGGGGUGUGAGUUCAAGCCCCAUGUUGGGUG